rnacentral:lncRNA from 1 species
UCGACCGGUGCGGCGCCUGCGCACUGGAACCAGGCGUGCGGCGCCCCAGGCGCCGGGCCUGCGGCGGCCGGAACCGGAACGCGCGCCCGCGGGGUAGGAGACCUGGAGCUGGAGAACCCGCCCGCCAGAGUCGUAGUAGUGGAUGGGGAGUAGCCGUCCCAUUUUCAACACAUGUCUCAUUCUAAAUUGACGUUUUGGUGGGCUGGCCGAAGAAGGAGAAAGACCCGCGGCUCCGACCUCUGACCUCUAACCCCGGACGCACUUUGAUUUCGCCGGCUUGCGCGGAAGGCUGACUCCCUGGGCCGCGGCCUGGCGCGGGAGCCGCCUGUGGGGUGUCCCCGGCGCGGGAGGGUGCUCUGGUUCAGGGCCCGCUGCCCAGGUAUGCACAAGUCAAGGCCUUUUCUGCAGACCAAGUAGCCUUCCCUGGAGAGCGCCCCCAGCACCACGGAAACUACCUACAUGCCCCGCGGUGGUCAGCCCGCCUUAUCCCAGCCCCGAGACCCAAAACAAGAAGCAUGGACUGAAUUUGAGGUUUCUGGAUGGUCGUGUGAACCGAGGGGACGGGUACUGGACUGACAAGAAAUGAGCCUUGAAGGUCAAUCUGGGUGACACCCGAGUCUCCUGGAUGGAGUUUCACUAUGUUGCCCAGGCUGAUCUGGAACUCCUGACCUCAAGCAAUCCACCUGCCUCAGCCUCCCAAAGUACUGGGAUUACAGGAGGGAGCCACCGUGCCCGGCCUGGUCCUGUGCAUUUUAUAGAUAAGGUAACUGACAAACCUAGCCACAGUCACCCCUUCGCCCUAAAGGAGAACUGGAAUUUGAACCCAGAGCCUUCUUCACCACCAUCUCCGUUGUUUCUGGAAGCACCCUCCAGGCAGGCCAGCCAGCAUCACGGGGCCUCCCCUGGGGCUGGAACGUCUGCAGGAUGCCCCUUUGAGAAAUGCUGUUCCACAGAACCCUGCCUUUCAGGCCUUGGAGACGUGGGCAGGGGAGAAGCAGCGUCCCUCAGAGCCAGGCCUGGCAGUGGUGCUAGCAGGGGCCAAGGCCCAGGGAGCAGGGUCUCCUGUCGGAGGGACCUGGGCAAGCCCCUCCACGCGCCAGCGGGUUUCUCAGCAGGGGAGGUCCACACCACACCGCUUGGGAACCUGGGUGCCUAAACGCAACAGGAGCCAAGGCACAAAUUUAACCAAACACCAAGGUUGCGUGAGGCCCCAUUUCAUGAGCCGGGCUCCAAGGACGUGUCCUUAGGCGGCUCUGGAAGGCCCAGCGCCAGCCCCCGUCCUCUGUUAAAGGGAGCCAGCCCCGCGGCUCCGCCCAGGCAUGGUAGCCUGAGCGCGCCCCCAGGGUAGUAGGGGGCACCUGAGGAGCAGGGUCUGCCCUGGCAUGAGCAGAGCCCAGGAUGGGGUCAGGGUCAGGCCCUGCCAGAGGCUGGAGGGUGCCCAAGGCGAGGCCGGUGAGGCCCAGCUCUACAAAUAAAGUGUUUUAUUUACAGGAG